rnacentral:rRNA from 1 species
AUUGAACGCUGGCGGUAUGCUUUACACAUGCAAGUCGAACGGUAACAGGCCGCAAGGUGCUGACGAGUGGCGAACGGGUGAGUAAUGCAUCGGAACGUGCCCAGUCGUGGGGGAUAACUACUCGAAAGAGUAGCUAAUACCGCAUACGAUCUAUGGAUGAAAGCGGGGGACCGUAAGGCCUCGCGCGAUUGGAGCGGCCGAUGUCAGAUUAGGUAGUUGGUGGGGUAAAGGCUCACCAAGCCAACGAUCUGUAGCUGGUCUGAGAGGACGACCAGCCACACUGGGACUGAGACACGGCCCAGACUCCUACGGGAGGCAGCAGUGGGGAAUUUUGGACAAUGGGCGCAAGCCUGAUCCAGCAAUGCCGCGUGCAGGAAGAAGGCCUUCGGGUUGUAAACUGCUUUUGUACGGAACGAAACGGCUCUGGUUAAUACCCGGGGCUAAUGACGGUACCGGAAGAAUAAGCACCGGCUAACUACGUG